rnacentral:rRNA from 1 species
GGGCCGCACGCGCGCUACACUGACGGAGCCAGCAAGUACAACCUUGGUCGAGAGGCCCGGGUAAUCUCGUGAAACUCCGUCGUGCUGGGGAUAGAGCAUUGUAAUUUUUGCUCUUCAACGAGGAAUUCCUAGUAAGCGCAAGUCAUCAGCUUGCGUUGAUUACGUCCC